UGAGUAAGUUGUGCGGCCGCAGCGACAAGCCGAAAGGCUGUCGGUGAGGAAAGUCCGGGCUCCAUAGGGCAAGGAUGCCGGGUAACGCCCGGUGAAGGUGACUUUAAGGAAAGUGCAACAGAAAGAUACCGCCGAAUUUUCGGCAAGGGUGGAAUGGUGAGGUAAGAGCUUACCGGCAGGCUGGAGACAGCCUGGCCCUGCAAACCCCAUCCGGAGCAACACCGUGGAGGAAUAACUGUGACCCGCAGGUUCCGAGGAGGUGGC
rnacentral:RNase_P_RNA from 1 species